GGGUUGUGAGGUUAAGCGACUAAGCGUACACGGUGGAUGCCCUGGCAGUCAGAGGCGAUGAAGGACGUGCUAAUCUGCGAAAAGCGUCGGUAAGGUGAUAUGAACCGUUACAGCCGGCGAUGUCCGAAUGGGGAAACCCAGUGCAAUUCGUUGCACUAUCGUUAACUGAAUACAUAGGUUAACGAGGCGAACCGGGGGAACUGAAACAUCUAAGUACCCCGAGGAAAGAAAUCAACCGAGAUUCCCCCAGUAGCGGCGAGCGAACGGGGAGCAGCCCAGAGUCUGAAUCAGCUUGUGUGUUAGUGGAACGGUCUGGAAAGUCCGACGGUACAGGGUGAUAGUCCCGUACACCAAAAUGCACAGGCUGUGAACUCGAAGAGUAGGGCGGGACACGUGGUAUCCUGUCUGAAUAUGGGGGACCAUCCUCCAAGGCUAAAUACUCCUGACUGACCGAUAGUGAACCAGUACCGUGAGGGAAAGGCGAAAGAACCCCGGCGAGGGGAGUGAAAAGAACCUGAAACCGUGUACGUACAAGCAGUGGGAGCACCUUCGGGUGUGACUGCGUACCUUUGUAUAAUGGGUCAGCGACUUAUAUUCUGUAGCAAGGUUAACCGUAUAGGGGAGCCGCAGGGAAACCGAGUCUUAACUGGGCGUUAAGUUGCAGGGUAUAGACCCGAAACCCGGUGAUCUAGCCAUGGGCAGGUUGAAGGUUGGGUAACACUAACUGGAGGACCGAACCGACUAAUGUUGAAAAUUAGCGGAUGACUUGUGGCUGGGGUGAAAGGCCAAUCAAACCGGGAGAUAGCUGGUUCUCCCCGAAAGCUAUUUAGGUAGCGCCUCGUGAAUUCAUCUUCGGGGUAGAGCACUGUUUCGGCUAGGGGUCAUCCCGACUUACCAACCCGAUGCAAACUACGAAUACCGAAGAAUGUUAUCACGGGAGACACACGGCGGGUGCUAACGUCCGUCGUGAAGAGGGAAACAACCCAGACCGCCAGCUAAGGUCCCAAAGUCAUGGUUAAGUGGGAAACGAUGUGGGAAGGCACAGACAGCCAGGAUGUUGGCUUAGAAGCAGCCAUCAUUUAAAGAAAGCGUAAUAGCUCACUGGUCGAGUCGGCCUGCGCGGAAGAUGUAACGGGGCUAAACCAUGCACCGAAGCUGCGGCAGCGACACUAUGUGUUGUUGGGUAGGGGAGCGUUCUGUAAGCCUGCGAAGGUGACCUGUGAGGGUUGCUGGAGGUAUCAGAAGUGCGAAUGCUGACAUAAGUAACGAUAAAGCGGGUGAAAAGCCCGCUCGCCGGAAGACCAAGGGUUCCUGUCCAACGUUAAUCGGGGCAGGGUGAGUCGACCCCUAAGGCGAGGCCGAAAGGCGUAGUCGAUGGGAAACAGGUUAAUAUUCCUGUACUUGGUGUUACUGCGAAGGGGGGACGGAGAAGGCUAUGUUAGCCGGGCGACGGUUGUCCCGGUUUAAGCAUGUAGGCUGGUUGUCCAGGCAAAUCCGGAUAAUCAAGGCUGAGGUGUGAUGACGAGGCACUACGGUGCUGAAGUAACAAAUGCCCUGCUUCCAGGAAAAGCCUCUAAGCAUCAGGUAACAUUAAAUCGUACCCCAAACCGACACAGGUGGUCAGGUAGAGAAUACCAAGGCGCUUGAGAGAACUCGGGUGAAGGAACUAGGCAAAAUGGUGCCGUAACUUCGGGAGAAGGCACGCUGGUGUGUAGGUGAAGUCCCUGCGGAUGGAGCUGAGACCAGUCGAAGAUACCAGCUGGCUGCAACUGUUUAUUAAAAACACAGCACUGUGCAAACACGAAAGUGGACGUAUACGGUGUGACGCCUGCCCGGUGCCGGAAGGUUAAUUGAUGGGGUUAUCCGUAAGGAGAAGCUCUUGAUCGAAGCCCCGGUAAACGGCGGCCGUAACUAUAACGGUCCUAAGGUAGCGAAAUUCCUUGUCGGGUAAGUUCCGACCUGCACGAAUGGCGUAAUGAUGGCCAGGCUGUCUCCACCCGAGACUCAGUGAAAUUGAACUCGCUGUGAAGAUGCAGUGUACCCGCGGCAAGACGGAAAGACCCCGUGAACCUUUACUAUAGCUUGACACUGAACAUUGAGCCUUGAUGUGUAGGAUAGGUGGGAGGCUUUGAAGCGUGGACGCCAGUCUGCGUGGAGCCAACCUUGAAAUACCACCCUUUAAUGUUUGAUGUUCUAACGUUGGCCCCUUACCGGGGUUGCGGACAGUGUCUGGUGGGUAGUUUGACUGGGGCGGUCUCCUCCCAAAGCGUAACGGAGGAGCACGAAGGUUAGCUAAUCCUGGUCGGACAUCAGGAGGUUAGUGCAAUGGCAUAAGCUAGCUUGACUGCGAGCGUGACGGCGCGAGCAGGUGCGAAAGCAGGUCAUAGUGAUCCGGUGGUUCUGAAUGGAAGGGCCAUCGCUCAACGGAUAAAAGGUACUCCGGGGAUAACAGGCUGAUACCGCCCAAGAGUUCAUAUCGACGGCGGUGUUUGGCACCUCGAUGUCGGCUCAUCACAUCCUGGGGCUGAAGUAGGUCCCAAGGGUAUGGCUGUUCGCCAUUUAAAGUGGUACGCGAGCUGGGUUUAGAACGUCGUGAGACAGUUCGGUCCCUAUCUGCCGUGGGCGCUGGAGAAUUGAGGGGGGCUGCUCCUAGUACGAGAGGACCGGAGUGGACGCAUCACUGGUGUUCGGGUUGUCAUGCCAAUGGCACUGCCCGGUAGCUAAAUGCGGAAGAGAUAAGUGCUGAAAGCAUCUAAGCACGAAACUUGCCCCGAGAUGAGUUCUCCCUGAGACUUUAAGUCUCCUGAAGGAACGUUAAAGACGAUGACGUUGAUAGGCCGGGUGUGUAAGCGCAGCGAUGCGUUGAGCUAACCGGUACUAAUGAACCGUGAGGCUUAACCUUACAACGCCGAAG
rnacentral:rRNA from 1 species